rnacentral:rRNA from 1 species
UACGAAGGGGCUAGCGUUGCUCGGAAUCACUGGGCGUAAAGGGUGCGUAGGCGGGUCUUUAAGUCAGGGGUGAAAUCCUGGAGCUCAACUCCAGAACUGCCUUUGAUACUGAGGAUCUUGAGUCCGGGAGAGGUGAGUGGAACUGCGAGUGUAGAGGUGAAAUUCGUAGAUAUUCGCAAGAACACCAGUGGCGAAGGCGGCUCACUGGCCCGGUACUGACGCUGAGGCACGAAAGCGUGGGGAGCAAACAGGG